GACGAACGCUGGCGGCGUGCCCAAUACAUGCAAGUAGAACGCUGAAGGAGGAGCUUGCUUCUCUGGAUGAGUUGCGAACGGGUGAGUAACGCGUAGGUAACCUGCCUGGUAGCGGGGGAUAACUAUUGGAAACGAUAGCUAAUACCGCAUAAUAGUAGAUGUUGCAUGACAUUUGCUUAAAAGGUGCAAUUGCAUCACUACCAGAUGGACCUGCGUUGUAUUAGCUAGUUGGUGGGGUAACGGCUCACCAAGGCGACGAUACAUAGCCGACCUGAGAGGGUGAUCGGCCACACUGGGACUGAGACACGGCCCAGACUCCUACGGGAGGCAGCAGUAGGGAAUCUUCGGCAAUGGACGGAAGUCUGACCGAGCAACGCCGCGUGAGUGAAGAAGGGUUUCGGAUCGUAAAGCUCUGUUGUAAGAGAAGAACGAGUGUGAGAGUGGAAAGUUCACACUGUGACGGUAUCUUACCAGAAAGGGACGGCUAACUACGUG
rnacentral:rRNA from 1 species